UAUUUCCGCCCGGGAUCGAACCGGGGACGUGCGCGUGUGAAGAGCACGUGAUAACCACUACACUAUGGAAAC